UGAAAAGCGGCAGCUGAUCGGCAGCUGGUGUUUAACGGAUCGAUAUAUCGCCAUUUUCUCGGCGCACUGCGCGGGUGUGAGUGCCGGAGACCUGGACAAUCCCCAGCUCGCGGCCUCAGUCGUACGAGCAGAGACGUCACGUGAUUACGCGCGGGCACAGGAUCGGAGACAGACCUAGGAACGACGUAAAACACACCACAGGAACAAUAGUACUUAAUAAAGUUAAGAACAAAGGAGAUAGGCUGAUAGUGUAGGGUUAUUCAGCAGUGCCACGGCUACAACUAUCGGAGACGGACAACAGGAAGGUGAUUGGGUACACGACACCAAAGAUGGUUGCGCGCAACAAAAAGGGACGAUGCUGGCCUGUCAUCUUGACGUUCUUCAUCACAGUUAUGCGAGCCACACAAGGAACAGACAGCCCUGGAUGUGAAAACGGCCUGACGCUUCCGGACGGGGUCUGUGACUGUUACACCUGUUGGGAGGGCGAGACGUGUGCUC